rnacentral:rRNA from 1 species
GUGGGGAAUAUUGGACAAUGGGCGAAAGCCUGAUCCAGCCAUGCCGCGUGUGUGAAGAAGGUCUUCGGAUUGUAAAGCACUUUAAGCGAGGAGGAGGCUACCGAGAUUAAUACUCUUGGAUAGUGGACGUUACUCGCAGAAUAAGCACCGGCUAACUCUGUGCCAGCAGCCGCGGUAAUACAGAGGGUGCAAGCGUUAAUCGGAUUUACUGGGCGUAAAGCGCGCGUAGGUGGCCAAUUAAGUCAAAUGUAAAAUCCCCGGGCUUAACUUGGGAAGUGCAUUCGAUACUGGUUGGCUAGAGUAUGGGAGAGGAUGGUAGAAUUCCAGGUGUAGCGGUGAAAUGCGUAGAGAUCUGGAGGAAUACCGAUGGCGAAGGCAGCCAUCUGGCCUAAUACUGACACUGAGGUGCGAAAGCAUGGGGAGCAAACAGGAUUAGAAACCCCGGUAGUCC